UCGUUCCUAUGACACCUAUAUGAUAUAGUCGUCCGAUUUUGAUAAAAUUUAAUUCGAAAUUCAAAACCAAUUCAAAAAUGUUAUUUCCAAACAAAGGAGGUUAUAAGUUUUAAAUCACCAAAGAUAUAUAUAUUUUUUAGUUUUCUCCCUGAUAGUUCCCAUCGGAGCUAUAAGAUAUAGUUGUCCGAUCUGGCUGGUUCCGACCUUUACACUACCUGCAAUAAAAAGACCACUAAUGGGAAAGUUUCAGCCCAGUUGCUUUAAAACUGAGAGACUAGUUUGCGUAGAAACGGACGGACAGACGGACGGACAUGGCUAUGCAUAUAUAAAACCAAUAUAGUGUGCCAAGUUUCAAGUCUGUAGCUUUAUUUUUCUAGUUUAUGCAAGAAUAUUGGGCAUUGGGCCAGUGUGCACUGGAUUAGUAGGGCAAGUCCAUAUGCAUAAUUAUCCAAUUAUCCCAUUUCUUAAUUAGUUAGACUGCAAAAAGAUGUCAGAUGGCUCAAUAUAAUUUCCUUUUCUUUUCAAUUUCCUUUCCUUUUCAAUUUUAUAAAAACAUUCCCAAAUGCCGUUUAUGUCUAUAUUGCAGUUAACAAAAUAGCGAGGACACGAUUUUCGAAAUGCCAUUUGCAAUAUUUAAAACAUGAGGUCUACCUACAUAGAUCCAAAGAUUUUUUUUCUAAACAAUUAAGCAUUUUAAUAAAUAAGAAGAGCCCAAUGUUCCAAAUUCGAUCAUUCCACUUUCGUGGUUAACAGACCAACGCUAAUUGUACGAACAUCCAUAUAUGUAGCUGGGUUACUUGAAAUAUGCAUACAUAUUAAUUGGACACAUUUUAAACAAAAACAAAAGUUCACUUCGGCGAAGUUUGUAUACCCCUGCAGUUAUAAGAAACAAUCAACUUUAAUAACACCGUGUGAAAUUUAUAAGGAUUGUUGCUGACUUCGGUGAUAUUAAAAAAAAUUAUUUCAUUCUUUUUUUCAAACCAUUUUUUUUUUACAUCUACAUUUAGUAGUCCAUUUUUUAUUAAAAAUAAAAAAUUUUAUUAUAAGAUUGUUCGCAGUAGAACGCCAAAAUUUCAUCGUUUACUAUCAGUUUGUAAAUCUAACUUAAAGUUUGCUAACUGCUGUGCAGCAUCUGCGUUGCGCUAACAGCACCAGUUAAUUAAACAGUACGCAUGUAAAACCUCGAAAACAAACACUGUACAACACUUACUAUACUCUUCUCUCGUCUUGCACUAAAACUUUGAAGUACACGAUCUCCAAAACGAAAGAUAGAUCUUUUUAUUUUAAUUAAUUAGAACAGGCCAAAGUAGGCUGCAAAACAGCAUCUCCUCUAAACAAUUAUCUUUGUUUAGAGGUCAAAAAGCCCCAAAGCUAUAAUUUGUUUUAUAUUAUUUUUCCACUAAUUUUGCGAUCGUUCCUAUGACAUCUAUAUGAUAUAGUCGUCCGAUUUUGAUAAAAUUUAAUUCGAAAUUCAAAACCAAUUCAAAAAUGUUAUUUCCAAACGAAGGAGGUUAUAAGUUUUAAAUCACCAAAGAUAUAUAUAUUUUUUAAUUUUUUCCCUGAUAGUUCCCAUCGGAGCUAUAAGAUAUAGUUGUCCGAUCUGGCUGGUUCCGACCUUUACACUACCUGCAAUAGAAAGACGACUUAUGGGAAAGUUUCAGCCCAGUUGCUUUAAAACUGAGAGACUAGUUUGCGUAGAAACGGACGGACAGACGGACGGACAUGGCUAGAUCAACUCGUCUAGUGACGCUAAUCAAGAAAAUAUAUACUUUAUGGGGUCGGAAACGUCUCGUUCACUGCGUUGCAAACUUCUGACUAAAUUAUUAUAACCUCUGCAAGGGUAUAAAAAUACAAAUACAAUCUGUUGGUGUAUAGGAAUUAAAAAAAUGUAAUAUGAAUGUUAAACGUGUCUUUUGUUGUGUAUACUUGUAGUGGGAAGGAUCUUCCCUACGCAUUCUGCUCAGCUCCAACUCUCGAUAUUCCGGAAGUCCCAACCCAGCACCUUGGCAAUGGCUGGUGAUGGCUUCUCCAGCUUUCUCUGUGCGAGCGGCCGGUUUUACCUCUUCUUUCUCUGCCUUCACCAUAUAGAAUAUUAUUAUUAUGGAAUAUUUUAUUAUUAUAAAUUUGAAAUCAAAAAAGCAAAUCACAUACGAAUAUAUUUAUUUCAUCUUGGCGUGGUUUCUGUGUUUUUCUUUCCAUUUUUAAAUUUUAGUUUACAUGUCUUAUAUCUUAUAGAUCAGAGGCAAAGCGUUAAUCGCCUAUUUGCUUCCCGCUUACUCCUAUGGUUUGCUCGCGGGUUCCUUAAAUAACAAUAACACUCUGUUAAACUUAUGACGUAUAUUCAGUUAACGAUUUAGGUGUCUUCUGGACCCUACAUUUAAAUUUGACUGUCACUUAAUGUCCACUGUUAACAAAGCCAUGAGUGUUCUUGGGUUUAUAAAGCGUCGGUCAAAAGAAUUUGAUGACCCUUAUACGACCAAAUUAUUAUUUACCUCCCUUGUCCGUCCUAUUUUGGAAUUUUGUUCGUCGGUUUGGAGUCCUCAAUAUUAAGUGCGCAUCGUCCGUAUUGAGUCGGUAAAAAAUUUUUUUUUUUGUUUGCCCUUCGUAGUUUCAACUGGGAUUAAAACGUAAGGCUACCUUCCAACCAGAGUAGAUUAUAAUUGCUUAAUUUACCUACAUUUGUAAAUCGUAGAACAAUGCUUUUUACGAUUUUUAUACAAAAUCUUACCUCUUGUGUCCCGUCUCUAUUUGUUUUAUGUAUCUACCUCCCAAAGUCGAAUUUUUGCCCAAAUUGAUAAUAGGGCCCCGCGGUUAACAAACACGUGCUUGGUAUCGUUGGCCCACUUGUUUUUACUCUUCGAAGUACAUCAACAUAUAUAACAUUGUUCAAGAUGCAUUGAUAAGUUCGGAUUAAAGGGAUAUUUACUAAAUAUUUAAAAUUUAUUGGAUAUAUUGGGCCAAUUUUCAUGAAUGUUUUGUAAAUUUUUGUCCCAUGCCGCAUUAGUUUCUAUGGGGCGGAAAGGAAGGCAUAAAAUUAAAUGCGCAGACUAUGCAUAUAUAAAACCAAUAUAGUGUGCCAAGUUUCAAGUCUGUAGCUUUAUUUUUCUAGUUUAUGCAAGAAUAUUGGGCAUUGGGCCAGUGUGCACUGGAUAAGUAGGGCAAGUACAUAUGCAUAAUUAUCCAAUUAUCCCAUUUCUUAAUUAGUUAGACUGCAAAAAUAUGUCAGAUGGCUCAAUAUAAUUUCCUUUUCUCUCCCUCUGUUAAGCAAUUUUAUAAAAACAUUCCCAAAUGCCGUUUAUGUCUAUAUUGCAGUUAACAAAAUAGCGAGGACACGAUUUUCGAAAUGCCAUUUGCAAUAUUUAAAACAUGAGGUCUACCUACAUAGAUCAAAGAUUUUUUUUCUAAACAAUUAAGCAUUUUAAUAAAUAAGAAGAGCCCAAUGUUCCAAAUUCGAUCAUUCCACUUUCGUGGUUAACAGACCAACGCUAAUUGUACGAACAUCCAUAUAUGUAGCUGGGUUACUUGAAAUAUGCAUACAUAUUAAUUGGACACAUUUUAAACAAAAACGAAAGUUCACUUCGGCGAAGUUUGUAUACCCCUGCAGUUAUAAGAAACAAUCAACUUUAAUAACACCGUGUGAAAUUUUUAAGGAUUGUUGCUGACUUCGGUGAUAUUAAAAAAAAUUAUUUCAUUCUUUUUUCAAACCAUUUUUUUUUACAUCUACAUUUAGUAGUCCGUUUUUUAUUAAAAAUAAAAAAUUAUAUUAUAAGAUUGUUCGCAGUAGAACGCCUAAAUUUCAUCGUUUACUAUCAGUUUGUAAAUAUAACUUAAAGUUUGCUAACUGCUGUGCAGCGUCUGCGUUGCGCUAACGGCACCAGUUAAACAGUACGCAUGUAAAACCUCGAAAACAAACACUGUACAGCACUUACUAUACUCUUCUCUCGUCUUGCACUAAAACUUCGAAGUACUCGAUCUCCAAAACGAAAGCUAGGUCUUUUUAUUUUAAUUAAUUAGAACAGGCCGAAGUAGGCUGCAAAACAGCAUCUCCUAUAAACAAUUAUCUUUGUUUAGAGGUCAAAAAGCCCCAGAGCUAUAAUUUGUUUUAUAUUAUUUUACCACUAAUUUUGCGAUCGUUCCUAUGACAGCUAUAUGAUAUAGUCGUCCGAUUUUGAUAAAAUUUAAUUCGAAAUUCAAAACCAAUUCAAAAAUGUUAUUUCCAAACGAAGGAGGUUAUAAGUUUUAAAUCACCAAAGAUAUAUAUAUUUUUUAAUUUUUUCCCUGAUAGUUCCCAUCGGAGCUAAAAGAUAUAGUUGUCCGGUAUGGCUGGUUCCGACCUUUACACUACCUGCAAUAGAAAGACGACUUAUGGGAAAGUUUCAGCCCAGUUGCUUUAAAACUGAGAGACUAGUUUGCGUAGAAACGGACGGACAGACGGACGGACAUGGCUAGAUCAACUCGUCUAGUGACGCUAAUCAAGAAAGUAUAUACUUUAUGGGGUCGGAAACGUCUCGUUCACUGCGUUGCAAACUUCUGACUAAAAUAUUGUAACCUCUGCAAGGGUAUAAAAAUACAAAUACAAUCUGUUGGUGUAUAGGAAUUAAAAAAAUGUAAUAUGAAUGUUAAACGUGUCUUUUGUUGUGUAUACUUGUAGUGGGAAGGAUCUUCCCUACGCAUUCUGCUCAGCUCCAACUCUCGAUAUUCCGGAAGUCCCAACCCAGCACCUUGGCAAUGGCUGGUGGUGGCUUCUCCAGCUUUCUCUGUGCGAGCGGCCGGUUUUACCUCUUCUUUCUCUGCCUUCACCAUAUAGAAUAUUAUUAUUAUGGAAUAUUUUAUUAUUAUAAAUUUGAAAUCAAAAAAGCAAAUCACAUACGAAUAUAUUUAUUUCAUCUUGGCGUGGUUUCUGUGUUUUUCUUUCCAUUUUUAAAUUUUAGUUUACAUGUCUUAUAUCUUAUAGAUCAGAGGCAAAGCGUUAAUCGCCUAUUUGCUUCCCGCUUACUCCUAUGGUUUGCUCGCGGGUUCCUUAAAUAACAAUAACACUCUGUUAAACUUAUGACGUAUAUUCAGUUAACGAUUUAGGUAUCUUCUGGACCCUACAUUUAAAUUUGACUGUCACAUAAUGUCCACUGUUAACAAAGCCAUGAGUGUUCUUGGGUUUAUAAAGCGUCGGUCAAAAGAAUUUGAUGACCCUUAUACGACCAAAUUAUUAUUUACCUCCCUUGUCCGUCCUAUUUUGGAAUUUUGUUCGUCGGUUUUGAGUCCUCAAUAUUAAGUGCGCAUCGUCCGUAUUGAGUCGGUAACAAAUUUUUUUUUUAUUUGCCCUUCGUAGUUUCAACUGGGAUUAAAACGUAAGGCUACCUUCCAACCAGAGUAGAUUAUAAUUGCUUAAUUUACCUACACUUGUAAAUCGUAGAACAAUGCUUUUUACGAUUUUUAUACAAAAUCUUACCUCUUGUGUCCCGUCUCUAUUUGUUUUAUGUAUCUACCUCCCAAAGUCGAAUUUUUGCCCAAAUUGAUAAUAGGGCCCCGCGGUUAACAAACACGUGCUUGGUAUCGUUGGCCCACUUGUUUUUACUCUUCGAAGUACAUCAACAUAUAUAACAUUGUUCAAGAUGCAUUGAUAAGUUCGGAUUAAAGGGAUAUUUACUAAAUAUUUAAAAUUUAUUGGAUAUAUUGGGCCAAUUUUCAUGAAUGUUUUGUAAAUUUUUGUCCCAUGCCGCAUUAGUUUCUAUGGAGCGGAAAGGAAGGCAUAAAAUUAAAUGCGCAGACUAUGCAUAUAUAAAACCUAUAUAGUGUGCCAAGUUUCAAGUCUGUAGCUUUAUUUUUCUAGUUUAUGCAAGAAUAUUGGGCAUUGGGCAUUGGGCCAGUGUGCACUGGAUUAGUAGGGCAAGUCCAUAUGCAUAAUUAUCCAAUUAUCCCAUUUCUUAAUUAGUUAGACUGCAAAAAGAUGUCAGAUGGCUGAAUAUAAUUUCCUUUUCUUUCCCUCUGUUAAGCAAAUUUAUAAAAACAUUCCCAAAUGCCGUUUAUGUCUAUAUUGCAGUUAACAAAAUAGCGAGGACACGAUUUUCGAAAUGCCAUUUGCAAUAUUUAAAACAUUAGGUCUACCUACAUAGAUCCAAAGAUUUUUUUUCUAAACAAUUAAGCAUUUUAAUAAAUAAGAAGAGCCCAAUGUUCCAAAUUCGAUCAUUCCACUUUCGUGGUUAACAGACCAACGCUAAUUGUACGAACAUCCAUAUAUGUAGCUGGGUUACUUGAAAUAUGCAUACAUAUUAAUUGGACACAUUUUAAACAAAAACGAAAGUUCACUUCGGCGAAGUUUGUAUACCCCUGCAGUUAUAAGAAACAAUCAACUUUAAUAACACCGUUUGAAAUUUUUAAGAAUUGUUGCUGACUUCGGUGAUAUUAAAAAAAAUUAUUUCAUUCUUUUUUCAAACCAUUUUUUUUACAUCUACAUUUAGUAGUCCGUUUUUUAUUAAAAAUAAAAAAUUAUAUUAUAAGAUUGUUCGCAGUAGAACGCCUAAAUUUCAUCGUUUACUAUCAGUUUGUAAAUAUAACUUAAAGUUUGCUAACUGCUGUGCAGCGUCUGCGUUGCGCUAACAGCACCAGUUAAACAGUACGCAUGUAAAACCUCGAAAACAAACACUUACAGCACUUACUAUACUCUUCUCUCGUCUUGCACUAAAACUUUGAAGUACACGAUCUCCAAAACGAAAGAUAGAUCUUUUUAUUUUAAUUAAUUAGAACAGGCCAAAGUAGGCUGCAAAACAGCAUCUCCUCUAAACAAUUAUCUUUGUUUAGAGGUCAAAAAGCCCCAAAGCUAUAAUUUGUUUUAUAUUAUUUUUCCACUAAUUUUGCGAUCGUUCCUAUGACAUCUAUAUGAUAUAGUCGUCCGAUUUUGAUAAAAUUUAAUUCGAAAUUCAAAACCAAUUCAAAAAUGUUAUUUCCAAACGAAGGAGGUUAUAAGUUUUAAAUCACCAAAGAUAUAUAUAUUUUUUAAUUUUUUCCCUGAUAGUUCCCAUCGGAGCUAUAAGAUAUAGUUGUCCGAUCUGGCUGGUUCCGACCUUUACACUACCUGCAAUAGAAAGACCACUAAUGGGAAAGUUUCAGCCCAGUUGCUUUAAAACUGAGAGACUAGUUUGCGUAGAAACGGACGGACAGACGGACGGACAUGGCUAGAUCAACUCGUCUAGUGACGCUAAUCAAGAAAAUAUAUACUUUAUGGGGUCGGAAACGUCUCGUUCACUGCGUUGCAAACUUCUGACUAAAAUAUUGUAACCUCUGCAAGGGUAUAAAAAUACAAAUACAAUCUGUUGGUGUAUAGGAAUUAAAAAAAUGUAAUAUGAAUGUUAAACGUGUCUUUUGUUGUGUAUAUUUGUAGUGCGAAGGAUCUUCCCUACGCAUUCUGCUCAGCUCCAACUCUCGAUAUUCCGGAAGUCCCAACCCAGCACCUUGGCAAUGGCUGGUGAUGGCUUCUCCAGCUUUCUCUGUGCGAGCGGCCGGUUUUACCUCUUCUUUCUCUGCCUUCACCAUAUAGAAUAUUAUUAUUAUGGAAUAUUUUAUUAUUAUAAAUUUGAAAUCAAAAAAGCAAAUCACAUACGAAUAUAUUUAUUUCAUCUUGGCGUGGUUUCUGUGUUUUUCUUUCCAUUUUUAAAUUUUAGUUUACAUGUCUUAUAUCUUAUAGAUCAGAGGCAAAGCGUUAAUCGCCUAUUUGCUUCCCGCUUACUCCUAUGGUUUGCUCGCGGGUUCCUUAAAUAACAAUAACACUCUGUUAAACUUAUGACGUAUAUUCAGUUAACGAUUUAGGUGUCUUCUGGACCCUACAUUUAAAUUUGACUGUCACAUAAUGUCCACUGUUAACAAAGCCAUGAGUGUUCUUGGGUUUAUAAAGCGUCGGUCAAAAGAAUUUGAUGACCCUUAUACGACCAAAUUAUUAUUUACCUCCCUUGUCCGUCCUAUUUUGGAAUUUUGUUCGUCGGUUUUGAGUCCUCAAUAUUAAGUGCGCAUCGUCCGUAUUGAGUCGGUAACAAAUUUUUUUUUUGUUUGCCCUUCGUAGUUUCAACUGGGAUUAAAACGUAAGGCUACCUUCCAACCAGAGUAGAUUAUAAUUGCUUAAUUUACCUACACUUGUAAAUCGUAGAACAAUGCUUUUUACGAUUUUUAUACAAAAUCUUACCUCUUGUGUCCCGUCUCUAUUUGUUUUAUGUAUCUACCUCCCAAAGUCGAAUUUUUGCCCAAAUUGAUAAUAGGGCCCCGCGGUUAACAAACACGUGCUUGGUAUCGUUGGCCCACUUGUUUUUACUCUUCGAAGUACAUCAACAUAUAUAACAUUGUUCAAGAUGCAUUGAUAAGUUCGGAUUAAAGGGAUAUUUACUAAAUAUUUAAAAUUUAUUGGAUAUAUUGGGCCAAUUUUCAUGAAUGUUUUGUAAAUUUUUGUCCCAUGCCGCAUUAGUUUCUAUGGAGCGGAAAGGAAGGCAUAAAAUUAAAUGCGCAGACUAUGCAUAUAUAAAACCUAUAUAGUGUGCCAAGUUUCAAGUCUGUAGCUUUAUUUUUCUAGUUUAUGCAAGAAUAUUGGGCAUUGGGCAUUGGGCCAGUGUGCACUGGAUUAGUAGGGCAAGUCCAUAUGCAUAAUUAUCCAAUUAUCCCAUUUCUUAAUUAGUUAGACUGCAAAAAGAUGUCAGAUGGCUCAAUAUAAUUUCCUUUUCUUUUCAAUUUCCUUUCCUUUUCAAUUUUAUAAAAACAUUCCCAAAUGCCGUUUAUGUCUAUAUUGCAGUUAACAAAAUAGCGAGGACACGAUUUUCGAAAUGCCAUUUGCAAUAUUUAAAACAUGAGGUCUACCUACAUAGAUCCAAAGAUUUUUUUUCUAAACAAUUAAGCAUUUUAAUAAAUAAGAAGAGCCCAAUGUUCCAAAUUCGAUCAUUCCACUUUCGUGGUUAACAGACCAACGCUAAUUGUACGAACAUCCAUAUAUGUAGCUGGGUUACUUGAAAUAUGCAUACAUAUUAAUUGGACACAUUUUAAACAAAAACGAAAGUUCACUUCGGCGAAGUUUGUAUACCCCUGCAGUUAUAAGAAACAAUCAACUUUAAUAACACCGUGUGAAAUUUUUAAGAAUUGUUGCUGACUUCGGUGAUAUUAAAAAAAAAUUAUUUCAUUCUUUUUUCAAACCAUUUUUUUUUACAUCUACAUUUAGUAGUCCGUUUUUUAUUAAAAAUAAAAAAUUAUAUUAUAAGAUUGUUCGCAGUAGAACGCCAAAAUUUCAUCGUUUACUAUCAGUUUGUAAAUAUAACUUAAAGUUUGCUAACUGCUGUGCAGCAUCUGCGUUGCGCUAACAGCACCAGUUAAUUAAACAGUACGCAUGUAAAACCUCGAAAACAAACACUGUACAACACUUACUAUACUCUUCUCUCGUCUUGCACUAAAACUUCAAAGUACACGAUCUCCAAAACGAAAGCUAGGUCUUUUUAUUUUAAUUAAUUAGAACAGGCCGAAUAAGGCUGCAAAACAGCAUCUCAAAAAGCCCCAAAGCUAUAAUUUGUUUUAUAUUAUUUUUCCACUAAUUUUGCGAUCGUUCCUAUGACAUCUAUAUGAUAUAGUCGUCCGAUUUUGAUAAAAUUUAAUUCGAAAUUCAAAACCAAUUCAAAAAUGUUAUUUCCAAACGAAGGAGGUUAUAAGUUUUAAAUCACCAAAGAUAUAUAUAUUUUUUAAUUUUUUCCCUGAUAGUUCCCAUCGGAGCUAUAAGAUAUAGUUGUCCGAUCUGGCUGGUUCCGACCUUUACACUACCUGCAAUAGAAAGACCACUAAUGGGAAAGUUUCAGCCCAGUUGCUUUAAAACUUAGAGACUAGUUUGCGUAGAAACGGACGGACAGACGGACGGACAUGGCUAGAUCAACUCGUCUAGUGACGCUAAUCAAGAAAAUAUAUACUUUAUGGGGUCGGAAACGUCUCGUUCACUGCGUUGCAAACUUCUGACUAAAAUAUUGUAACCUCUGCAAGAGUAUAAAAAUACAAAUACAAUCUGUUGGUGUAUAGGAAUUAAAAAAAUGUAAUAUGAAUGUUAAACGUGUCUUUUGUUGUGUAUACUUGUAGUGCGAAGGAUCUUCCCUACGCAUUCUGCUCAGCUCCAACUCUCGAUAUUCCGGAAGUCCCAACCCAGCACCUUGGCAAUGGCUGGUGAUGGCUUCUCCAGCUUUCUCUGUGCGAGCGGCCGGUUUUACCUCUUCUUUCUCUGCCUUCACCAUAUAGAAUAUUAUUAUUAUGGAAUAUUUUAUUAUUAUAAAUUUGAAAUCAAAAAAGCAAAUCACAUACGAAUAUAUUUAUUUCAUCUUGGCGUGGUUUCUGUGUUUUUCUUUCCAUUUUUAAAUUUUAGUUUACAUGUCUUAUAUCUUAUAGAUCAGAGGCAAAGCGUUAAUCGCCUAUUUGCUUCCCGCUUACUCCUAUGGUUUGCUCGCGGGUUCCUUAAAUAACAAUAACACUCUGUUAAACUUAUGACGUAUAUUCAGUUAACGAUUUAGGUGUCUUCUGGACCCUACAUUUAAAUUUGACUGUCACAUAAUGUCCACUGUUAACAAAGCCAUGAGUGUUCUUGGGUUUAUAAAGCGUCGGUCAAAAGAAUUUGAUGACCCUUAUACGACCAAAUUAUUAUUUACCUCCCUUGUCCGUCCUAUUUUGGAAUUUUGUUCGUCGGUUUUGAGUCCUCAAUAUUAAGUGCGCAUCGUCCGUAUUGAGUCGGUAACAAAUUUUUUUUUUGUUUGCCCUUCGUAGUUUCAACUGGGAUUAAAACGUAAGGCUACCUUCCAACCAGAGUAGAUUAUAAUUGCUUAAUUUACCUACACUUGUAAAUCGUAGAACAAUGCUUUUUACGAUUUUUAUACAAAAUCUUACCUCUUGUGUCCCGUCUCUAUUUGUUUUAUGUAUCUACCUCCCAAAGUCGAAUUUUUGCCCAAAUUGAUAAUAGGGCCCCGCGGUUAACAAACACGUGCUUGGUAUCGUUGGCCCACUUGUUUUUACUCUUCGAAGUACAUCAACAUAUAUAACAUUGUUCAAGAUGCAUUGAUAAGUUCGGAUUAAAGGGAUAUUUACUAAAUAUUUAAAAUUUAUUGGAUAUAUUGGGCCAAUUUUCAUGAAUGUUUUGUAAAUUUUUGUCCCAUGCCGCAUUAGUUUCUAUGGAGCGGAAAGGAAGGCAUAAAAUUAAAUGCGCAGACUAUGCAUAUAUAAAACCUAUAUAGUGUGCCAAGUUUCAAGUCUGUAGCUUUAUUUUUCUAGUUUAUGCAAGAAUAUUGGGCAUUGGGCAUUGGGCCAGUGUGCACUGGAUUAGUAGGGCAAGUCCAUAUGCAUAAUUAUCCAAUUAUCCCAUUUCUUAAUUAGUUAGACUGCAAAAAGAUGUCAGAUGGCUCAAUAUAAUUUCCUUUUCUUUUCAAUUUCCUUUCCUUUUCAAUUUUAUAAAAACAUUCCCAAAUGCCGUUUAUGUCUAUAUUGCAGUUAACAAAAUAGCGAGGACACGAUUUUCGAAAUGCCAUUUGCAAUAUUUAAAACAUGAGGUCUACCUACAUAGAUCCAAAGAUUUUUUUUCUAAACAAUUAAGCAUUUUAAUAAAUAAGAAGAGCCCAAUGUUCCAAAUUCGAUCAUUCCACUUUCGUGGUUAACAGACCAACGCUAAUUGUACGAACAUCCAUAUAUGUAGCUGGGUUACUUGAAAUAUGCAUACAUAUUAAUUGGACACAUUUUAAACAAAAACGAAAGUUCACUUCGGCGAAGUUUGUAUACCCCUGCAGUUAUAAGAAACAAUCAACUUUAAUAACACCGUGUGAAAUUUUUAAGGAUUGUUGCUGACUUCGGUGAUAUUAAAAAAAAUUAUUUCAUUCUUUUUUUCAAACCAUUUUUUUUACAUCUACAUUUAGUAGUCCGUUUUUUAUUAAAAAUAAAAAAUUUUAUUAUAAGAUUGUUCGCAGUAGAACGCCAAAAUUUCAUCGUUUACUAUCAGUUUGUAAAUAUAACUUAAAGUUUGCUAACUGCUGUGCAGCAUCUGCGUUGCGCUAACAGCACCAGUUAAUUAAACAGUACGCAUGUGAAACCUCGAAAACAAACACUGUACAACACUUACUAUACUCUUCUCUCGUCUUGCACUAAAACUUUGAAGUACACAAUCUCCAAAACGAAAGAUAGAUCUUUUUAUUUUAAUUAAUUAGAACAGGCCAAAGUAGGCUGCAAAACAGCAUCUCCUCUAAACAAUUAUCUUUGUUUAGAGGUCAAAAAGCCCCAAAGCUAUAAUUUGUUUCAUAUUAUUUUUCCACUAAUUUUGCGAUCGUUCCUAUGACAGCUAUAUGAUAUAGUCGUCCGAUUUUGAUAAAAUUUAAUUCGAAAUUCAAAACUAAUUCAAAAAUGUUAUUUCCAAACGAAGGAGGUUAUAAGUUUUAAAUCACCAAAGAUAUAUAUAUUUUUUAAUUUUUUCCCUGAUAGUUCCCAUCGGAGCUAUAAGAUAUAGUUGUCCGAUCUGGCUGGUUCCGACCUUUACACUACCUGCAAUAGAAAGACCACUAAUGGGAAAGUUUCAGCCCAGUUGCUUUAAAACUGAGAGACUAGUUUGCGUAGAAACGGACGGACAGACGGACGGACAUGGCUAGAUCAACUCGUCUAGUGAUGCUAAUCAAGAAAAUAUAUACUUUAUGGGGUCGGAAACGUCUCGUUCACUGCGUUGCAAACUUCUGACUAAAAUAUUAUAACCUCUGCAAGGGUAUAAAAAUACAAAUACAAUCUGUUGGUGUAUAGGAAUUAAAAAAAUGUAAUAUGAAUGUUAAACGUGUCUUUUGUUGUGUAUACUUGUAGUGGGAAGGAUCUUCCCUACGCAUUCUGCUCAGCUCCAACUCUCGAUAUUCCGGAAGUCCCAACCCAGCACCUUGGCAAUGGCUGGUGAUGGCUUCUCCAGCUUUCUCUGUGCGAGCGGCCGGUUUAACCUCUUCUUUCU